AUUAAGUUCUUGCAUAAAAAAUUGCUUUAUUUGUGAAGGGUAUACUAGCCUCGGUGCAAGCGAAGUUAACGUUUUUUCUUGCUUAAGUACCAGUCAGCACAAUGUGAUGCGGCAUUUUCGUGGCGUCUGAUAAGUACCCGCUGCUUUUCACGUAGCCAGACACCAGCGGCAGAUAUGCGUAUCUUAUCACCACCACUGAUUGACAAAGAGCCAGAGCAGCGGAGAACGCAGCAGAGCAGCAACCAACCACCUAAGGUGAAUAUGGCUGUUUACCGUUGCUUUUAAUACAAACAAACAUACAGACACAGAUACUACUACAGCGGCCAAGCACCAUACACGCGCUUAUACAACUAGAGUGGGUUUCGUAAUUUCACUGUAUUUUCUAUAUAAAGAUUUAGAUCUAAAAAAAACGCUAGUAGGAGUUAGUGUCACUGAAAAGCUUAAAAGUUCAUAUUUUUCGGCAUUGUAAAGAUUUGGUUAUGCGCAAAUUGUUAAUAUGAGAGCGCCUGCGUCGAAAUUAUUCUAACGUAAUGUCAACAAACAUACUGGCAUUGGUAAACAGAGAGCAGCAGAGCAGCGUUUGCCCUUCAGCAACUGCUUAUACAAUAACAGCAACACACAAAAACAACGACAACAAGGCAGCGCUCGGCCAACACGGAGCUGCGUGCGCGCUGCUCCACUUGCUGACAGGUGCAAUCGAGGGUUGAGCGGGAGGUUGACGAAGGCUGCUGGCGUGUACGUUGUGGGCCAACAGGUGCUCGGCGCGCUAGCGCUCGGUGCUCAGUCAGUCGUAGCUCAGCAAUCGCAGCGCUUGAAAGUCUCGAAAGUGUCGGUAACGGGCUUGCCGGUUGUAAACACCUUAAUGGCCGUAAAUUCUCACAAGACGUGCGCUUAUCUCAGUAAUCAAAAACAAUUUUUUUGUUCGAUUGUCGUUUCCAGCUUCGUGCGCCGUCGUCUGUUCGGCCAGCUUCAAUUUGGUUAGUCACUGCACUGGCGCGGAUAUCUUGCUGAUAGUGUUGGCUCGAGAUACGGCUUAUUUGCAUUCGUUUUUUUCAGCGCGCUUCUCGCGUACUAGCCGCAAUUAGCGUUAUUUUUUUUUUUUUGUUUUUUGCGAACUGGAACUGAAACUGAAACUGUGUGAUUAUCAUUCAACUGAAAUAGUGUGUACUGAGCAGCAAAACGUUGGAUCUCAGCGACUUUUUAUCUACAUAUCUUUUAUAAUGAAGUUAAAUAAGAUAAUGUGAUUAAGAGAUAUCAAAUGAAAACUUGUUGAGCACAGACGCCUGUGUUUCAUCAACUAAAUAUACAAAAGGUGCAUAAAAAUCUUGCGUUAAAUGAACACAGCACAAAUAAAUGUUUAAAAAACACACAUAACUACGUCAGCAGGAUUCAAGAACUGCAGAAAAAUU